rnacentral:rRNA from 1 species
UACGUAGGUGGCAAGCGUUGUCCGGAUUUACUGGGCGUAAAGAGCGCGCAGGCGGUCGUUCAAGUCGCGUGUGAAAGCCCCCGGCUCAACUGGGGAGGGUCACGCGAUACUGAUCGACUCGAAGGCAGGAGAGGGUAGUGGAAUUCCUGGUGUAGCGGUGAAAUGCGCAGAUAUCAGGAAGAACACCCGUGGCGAAAGCGGCUCUCUGGAACGGUACUGACGCUGAGACGCGAAAGCGUGGGGAGCGAACAGG